CGCGUAGGUGGCGGCAUAAGGCUGUGGUGAAAGUCCGGGGCUCAACCCCGGAUCGGCCGCGGCGACUGUGUCGCUCGGGUACUGUAGAGGCAGAUGGAAUUCCGGGUGUAGCGGUGGAAUGCGUAGAGAUCCGGAAGAACACCAGUGGCGAAGGCGGUCUGCUGGGCAGUGGGCUCGAAAGGGCCCUUCAACCGACACUGAGGCGCGACAGCGGUGGGGAGCAAACA
rnacentral:rRNA from 1 species